rnacentral:lncRNA from 1 species
CCAUCAAAGCUCUUUCCUAUACUUCUAUUGGUGACCACCCAAAUGUUAGAAAAUUGCGUACGGUAAAAACGCAGCGGAAAAAGAAAUCAAAUAAAUUUGAUUUUUGAAAACUCUCGAAAGCAAAUCUCAAAAACCACGCAAUUAGGAUCCCUCAUGUUCUUUAAGAUUAAAGGAGAAAAAUAAGAUCGAAUCUUUACCUUAUUCGCAGAUAAAUCUUCACCUCAAUUUGAUGAUCGUAGAAUUCGGUUCUCUUGAAGCCGCACACGCGUCCGGCCUCUAUAGGUAUCCACACGAGAUUCUUGAUUUGAUCAAUAUCCUCACCGGGGUGCUAGCUCCCUUGCAAAAGGACGUCUUUCUUGCUAGAAGAUGGAAGAGAGAAGAGAGGAUAGAUUACGGCUAGGGUUUUCUAAAAACUCCCGUAUAUUAUAUAUAGGAAUAUAAUCCU